rnacentral:snoRNA from 1 species
UUUAAUGAUGAAUCAUUACAACAUUAUCACGACGGUCAACAUAAGGAUUUAUAUUGAUGACUAUCGCCUGUGACAAGGCAUUGAUCUGAAA